ACUAAGUUUCAACAACGGAUCUCUUGGCUCUCGCAUCGAUGAAGAACGCAGCGAAAUGCGAUAAGUAAUGUGAAUUGCAGAAUUCAGUGAAUCAUCGAAUCUUUGAACGCACCUUGCGCUCCUUGGUAUUCCUUGGAGCAUGCCUGUUUGAGUAUCAU
rnacentral:rRNA from 1 species